rnacentral:rRNA from 1 species
CGUGUAGGCGGUUUGUUAAGUCUGAUGUGAAAGCCCCGGGCUCAACCUGGGAAGUGCAUUGGAAACUGGCAGACUUGAAUACGGGAGAGGGUAGUGGAAUUCCUAGUGUAGGAGUGAAAUCCGUAGAUAUUAGGAGGAACACCGGUGGCGAAGGCGGCUGCCUGGACCGAUAUUGACGCUGAGACGCGAAAGCGUGGGGAGCAAACAGGAUUAGAUACCCUGGUAGUCCACGCCGUAAACGAUGAGUACUAGGUGUUGGCGGGUAUUGACCCCUGCAGUGCCGCAGCUAACGCAUUAAGUCUCCGCCUGGGAAGUACGGCCGCAAGGCUAAA